rnacentral:rRNA from 1 species
AUGCGGUUCUGUGUUUUGACAUUUGAACUCCUUUGGCACACUGUAGAGUUCGGGCAAAUCUUCAGUGCUGGAGAGCGUUGUUGGAAAGGAUUUCCUGCCCAGGGUUUAGGCAUUGUCACCCAUCGCCCGCUGGUUCUGCAACUCCAUAGGAUUGAUGAAGACAGGGAGUAUGCAGAGUUCAUGCAUGUCCCCAGGAAGAGAUUCAUCGAUUUCGGUAAUUCCUCUAUUCUUUGUCUUAUUUCCAUGUGCUAUGCUGAUGAUGAUAUUAAGAUUGAUGCAUGA